rnacentral:rRNA from 1 species
AUUGAACGCUGGCGGCAGGCUUAACACAUGCAAGUCGAGCGGGGGAAGGUAGCUUGCUACCGGACCUAGCGGCGGACGGGUGAGUAAUGCUUAGGAAUCUGCCUAUUAGUGGGGGACAACAUCUCGAAAGGGAUGCUAAUACCGCAUACGUCCUACGGGAGAAAGCAGGGGAUCACUUGUGACCUUGCGCUAAUAGAUGAGCCUAAGUCGGAUUAGCUAGUUGGUGGGGUAAAGGCCUACCAAGGCGACGAUCUGUAGCGGGUCUGAGAGGAUGGGAGGCAACACUGGGACUGAGACACGGCCAAGACUCCUACGGGAGGCAGCAGUGGGGAAUAUUGGACAAUGGGGGGAACCCUGAUCCAGCCAUGCCGCGUGUGUGAAGAAGGCCUUAUGGUUGUAAAGCACUUUAAGCGAGGAGGAGGCUCUUUUGGUUAAUACCCAAGAUGAGUGGACGUUACUCGCAGAAUAAGCACCGGCUAACUCUGUGCCAGCCGCCGCAGUAA